UACGUAGGGUGCAAGCGUUAUCCGGAAUUAUUGGGCGUAAAGAGCUCGUAGGCGGUUUUGUCGCGUCUGCUGUGAAAACCCGAGGCUCAACCUCGGGCCUGCAGUGGGUACGGGCAGACUAGAGUGCGGUAGGGGGAGAUUGGAAUUCCUGGUGUAGCGGUGGAAUGCGCAGAUAUCAGGAGGAACACCGAUGGCGAAGGCAGAUCUCUGG
rnacentral:rRNA from 1 species